GACGAACCGUGCGAACGUUGUUCGGAAUCACUGGGCUUAAAGGGCGCGUAGGCGGCCUGCCAAGUCAGGAGUGAAAUCUUUCGGCUUAACCGGAAAAGUGCUCUUGAUACUGGCGGGCUAGAGGGAGAUAGGGGCAUGUGGAACUUCCGGUGGAGCGGUGAAAUGCGUUGAUAUCGGAAGGAACGCCGGUGGCGAAAGCGACGUGCUGGACCUCUUCUGACGCUGAGGCGCGAAAGCCAGGGGAGCGAACGGG
rnacentral:rRNA from 1 species